GAUGGAAGGUCUUGAAGUUCUCUGACUGGCCUCGACUGAAGAUGGUCGUCUCACUGGAUUUAAGAUGCACAAUGAGGGACGUCUGCAGAGACUGAGAAAGAGUCUCACCACAUCCUGACAUGAGGAAAAAGACUUUAUUGAAGACUACAAUGAGAAAAACUAUCAGACAGCAGACGGCUGCAUUCAAGGUUACAGGAGGAGUCCUACGAGGACGAGCUGGUCCACCUGAUGGCGGCCAGUCGCUGCGGUUCAAAGCCAACACCGACUACGUGGACUUCUACUGGACCACACGGAGGCCUUCAAACCGGACCAACAAGUUCAGCGACUCCCCGACUCGUGGGUCUGAGGACGCCGCCGAGCCUCGGUCCAGCCGGCCUCCUGUCUGUGGGUGUUUGAGUGCUGAGAGGUUUGUGGAUGCAUGUGAACGUGUCUGUGUUGAAACAGCAGCUUUUGACUCAGUAACGCUGGUAAAAACCAAGAGCUCCUUUAUUUGUGACUUCCACUAAAAAAACUGAUG
ensembl:lncRNA